rnacentral:rRNA from 1 species
UACAGAGGGUGCGAGCGUUAAUCGGAAUUACUGGGCGUAAAGCGCGCGUAGGCGGCUUUGCAAGUCGGGUGUGAAAUCCCCAGGCUUAACCUGGGAACUGCAUCCGAGACUGCAUUGCUAGAGUAUGGGAGAGGGAAGUGGAAUUUCAGGUGUAGCGGUGAAAUGCGUAGAUAUCUGGAGGAACACCGGUGGCGAAGGCGACAUCCUGGACCGGUAUUGACGCUGAGGCGCGAAAGCCAGGGGAGCAAACGGG